CCUCCCUGGGCAAGGGACUGAGUCCCUGGUGAAGCGCCCCCCGGGGAGUUGCGGCGUGACGCAGCGUGCUCCUGGGGCCCCUGGACGCGUGCACACGGGAAGCGCUCCCGAAGGGCUCCGCGCGGCGGGGGGAGGGCCGGCAGUGCCCACACUUCCCUACUUUGCGCUUCCGUUUUGCCGACUUCAUUCCCUUCUUCUUUAAUAACGUACUAUCUGAGGGGGGGCGGGAAUCUUUUCGGAAGAAACCUGAGCGACACAAGGCUGGGAAAUGGUGCCAGAGACGCGCCGGAGCUCGCCCAUGUCCGCCCCACCGAGCACAGUCUGGCCGCCCGGGACGUGCCCCUGCCUCCGCCCAGGGGCUGCGAGGGGCUUGGAAGUGCUUACUUGACUGUAUAUUUGCUCCAAGGGCUUCUUGGUCCAUUGGAAAGAGCAAAAUUAACUCAGGAACCAAGCAGUGGGAUUAGAGCCCUCCUUGAUCGCACCCAGCAGAACUAGGGGUGGCAGGAAGCCUGUUUUGAUUGGGUCAGCGCUUGGCCCCGCCCCAAGAAGCUCUUACCCAGAGUUCCAGAGCUGGGUUAGGGCUAGGGCUGGUUUGGCCGGGAGAGGAAGGAGGGGGCACAGGAGGAGCUCAGCCAGAAGAAACCAGCAGACCCGGGGCAAGCGGCUCCAGGGCAAAAGCGGCGGCGACAUGGGGUGAAGGAAGAAGACAUGAGGGGAGUCAUACGGGAUCCCAGGCCGAAGACAGGGCCCGCCAGCAGCACCCACCCCUUCGGAGGCUAAAGGAAGUGCCAAGAAAAUCCUGUUCCUUCCCCCGCUUCUUCGGAGCCCAUCAGCGGGCUGCUUCUUUACCCCAAAGUUCCUGGGAGCCAGACUUUUGUCUGAACCGCACAAGUAAGUGCCAUUUAUGAAGACCCUUCUCCUCUAUGUCUUGCUGUUUCUCUAAAGUGGUCUCCAGUUUCCAGGCUUCUCCCAUCCUGAAGACAUGGGGACUGUGCUCCAUUAGUCCUUCCCAAAGUGAUUCUCCAACAACAAGACCCAGCUUCAAUGAUGGCUCCUUGUUUUUGGGUGUAGUUCCCUUACCUAAAAGAAAUAAAACAUGUAAAGAUUC